CCUGCCCCCUUUUCUCAAAAAGGCAAAGGGGGAGGACAUUUAUUGCACGUACUUCCUUCUCGUGCUCGAGAAGCAUGAUAAAUAGAAAUCAGACAUGCAGACCAAAUUAGAAUUUGGAAGAACUUCAAGACAGAAACACAUCAAACACCGGAAAGUUUGGUGAAGACCCUUUAAAAACUUGACUGUCCUGCACAGAGCCCUGACCCCAACCCCAUUCAAUACCUUGGGGAUCAAUUGGAGUGAUUAAGGAUCUAUCUGAUGGGGAAUCGUUUUUCAAGGAUUU